GACGAACGCUGGCGGCGUGCCUAAUACAUGCAAGUAGAACGCACAGUUUAUACCGUAGCUUGCUCCACCAUAGACUGUGAGUUGCGAACGGGUGAGUAACGCGUAGGUAACCUGCCUGGUAGCGGGGGAUAACUAUUGGAAACGAUAGCUAAUACCUCAUAAUAUUGAUUAUUGCAUGAUAAUUGAUUGAAAGAUGCUAUUGCAUCACUACCAGAUGGACCUGCGUUGUAUUAGCUAGUAGGUGAGGUAACGGCUCACCUAGGCGACGAUACAUAGCCGACCUGAGAGGGGGAUCGGCCAAACUGGGACUGAGACACGGCCCAGACUCCUAAGGGAGGCAGCAGUAGGGAAUCUUCGGGAAUGGACGAAAGGCUGAACGAGCAAAGCCGGGUGAGUGAAGAAGGGUUUCGGAUCGUAAAGAUCUGUUGUAAGAGAAGAAAGGGUGUGGGAGUGGAAAGUGCACACUGUGACGGUAUCUUACCAGAAAGGGACGGCUAACUACGUG
rnacentral:rRNA from 1 species